CACACAUUCGCGCACGGGACGGCCGCGGGGCGCCUCGCGCUCCCCUGCUAGUCCCAGCUGCGGGAACUGCUUUCCGUCCCAGCGUUGGUUUGGCCGAUCACUAGGAAUCUGGUUCUGAUGGUGUCGUGCGGCCAUAGCCAGCCAGCGGUGCAGCAGCGACCCCUCUUUCGUUCAGCAAACACCUGAAACGUGCCAAUCUUGCAGUGACUGUUGAUGGGUCCUUUGCGAGCUUCUCAAGGGGUGUCCACAGCCGCUCUUCAAAAUAGCAGGUGAAUUUGUGAGUCAAAGCAACAUGAUGGAGAGGUAUAUUCGAGUUGGAUCUUUCAAAGAGAUGACUGAUGCGUGGUAGCUGAUGGUGACAGUGCCGGAUAUCCUAUACCCCUGAAGCCAAAGAAAUGCACCACAAUUUUGAGACAUGUAAUGUAUGCUUAUUGUUGUACUUAUUAGUACAUAAUUUUAUUUAUAUUUAUAUGUUAAAUUAUACCUUUAGGACUCAAAUAAUAUAGUGCAAGUAUGUAGUACAGCAAGAACAAAUGAUUUCAUGAACCAUCAGUACACUUAUCCGCAAAGCAUAUUCUAGAGAUAUCAUAUUGCACAAUUUCAUCGAACCAGUGUCUUACCACGAGCGACU